GCAAAAGCAACUCGACAGAUUUGAACGAAACAUGGUACGUAGAUAGCUGGAGAUCUGUCUGGAAUAACACAUAGGCAAUUUUUAUCCCGACAUUUCUACGGGAUCGGAAAUUACGCAGAUGAAACUGCGUGGCGCUGCUAGUAUGUACGUAAUACUACUGAGAGGAAAAGACUGACGAAGGGCACUGUGAAGAAAAGGAGAGAAGAGGCCUAUAUCUCUUUCCUAUUAAGAAAUAUUUAAGCUAUUAGCACGCGCCUAUUUUGCUGGUUGAUGGAUGGG
rnacentral:misc_RNA from 1 species